rnacentral:misc_RNA from 1 species
CCGAGUUUUCAACUCCCAAACCCCUGUGAACAUACCUAUCGUUGCCUCGGCGGGAGAGCCCCGGGCGUUGGUGAAAGCCUUCGCACCGGUACCAGGCGCCCGCCGGAGGACCCAAACAAACUCUUGUAUUCUAAAGAAUCUUCUGAGUAACCAUAAGUUAAUAAAUUA